UUGUACGAUACAGUCAGUUUUUUUUCAUAAUAGUCAUUUUUUGUGUGAUAAAAUCAAUUCGGAUGCGCAAUAAAUUAUUGUGAAUCUGAUUCACCCUACACGUUUUUGUUUGUAGUACAUUGCAUUUGCUUGAAACUAUUAAGUGCAAAUCUUGAAUAUAGCAAUUUGCCUCAUCCUCUCUUUAUAAAAAAAAUUAAAACUAAAAAUGAUAACGAACUGAUAUAAAAGAGAUAAUAAAAUUUAAAAUUAGUCAUAUUUAUACUAAAUAUAUCAAUUUUGAAAACUGAUAAUUGAAAACCGAAAAUUAUUUUUUCAAAUUUACAUAAUUUUUUUUUGAAAGGACAUAAUUUUGUUUUUGGUUUUAAAAAAGCUAAAAACUGACUGAAAAACGAUAACGAACGAGCCCAGUUAUUAACUCUACCAAAUCACCCCCCUACAACUCUACAAGGCUACAACUCAUAACCUAAUUUAUUCUCUUGCAAAUAAUGGCGAAUGUUGACGAACGAAGACGUGAAGAAAACGUGCCUCCAUUUUCUGCCGAUGUCUGCGGAUUCUAGUGGCUAAACUAAGGCUUGGUCUGGUCUAUAAUAUCGUCAUAUAUUGGAGCUUCAGGGCUGCAAGGAGCAGACAUUGACUCAGUUGGUAGAGCACAAGGCAAUGUGUGGUUUGCAGAUUUAUCAUAUGGUUGCUGGUUCAAAGUAGGCAAGUUGAAAUCCCUUUCCCCUGAUUCCUGAUGAGAUAACCCUCAUCAUACCCAAAUUUCCCCAGACUUGCAACUUUAUCCUUUUUCUAAAUGUGGAAACAACUGAAUAUCCAUUAUGAGAAAAAGUAAGUUACAUUUGAGGUAAAGAAAAGGUUGGAACA